AGAGCGAACGCUGGCGGCAGGCCUAACACAUGCAAGUCGAGCGCCCCGCAAGGGGAGCGGCAGACGGGAGAGUAACACGUGGGAACGUACCCUUCAGUUCGGAACAACCCAGGGAAACUUGGGCUAAUACCGGAUACGUCCGUAAGGAGAAAGAUUUAUCGCUGAAGGAUCGGCCCGCGUCUGAUUAGCUAGUUGGUGGGGUAAUGGCCCACCAAGGCGACGAUCAGUAGCUGGUCUGAGAGGAUGAUCAGCCUCAUUGGGACUGAGACACGGCCCAAACUCCUACGGGAGGCAGCAGUGGGGAAUAUUGGACAAUGGGCGCAAGCCUGAUCCAGCCAUGCCGCGUGGAUGAUGAAGGCCUUAGGGUUGUAAAGUCCUUUCGGCGGGGAAGAUAAUGACGGUACCCGCAGAAGAAGCCCCGGCUAACUUCGUGCCAGCAGCCGC
rnacentral:rRNA from 1 species